AGGACAUCGAGUCCCUCCUCUCCUUCUCCCAUGCCUUCCUGCCUGCCAUGGCAAAUCUGAGUGGCUUCUAUAAGCUUCUGCUGGUACAAAUUAAUGUGGCACCAUGAGCUUGAUGGUGGCAGAAGAGACAAUAGUCCUUAGCUCUCCUCCCAGUACACCCCCUACUUGGUCAGUCUGUAGGUCAACAAGAAGGUUCCUUUACCCCCAUGCAAGACACUUAUGAGAACACAUUGCAAGAUGGCUGACCGUGGAGGAUGAGUGGAUCCUGAAAGGUUGUCCCAAACUGUUGAUUUGGAAAAGAAAUAAGCACAUAGAUAACCUUAUUGUGUGCUGCAUGGAAAGGAACUGAAUACAUUUGCCUUUAAGCAUGAAAAAAAAAAAAGAAA
rnacentral:lncRNA from 1 species